rnacentral:lncRNA from 10 species
CAGGUGCGCAGCCGCGGGGCGCAGUGGGGCUGCGCGCGGGCGCUCGCGGCCGGCUGGAGGUGCCCGGCGAUCGGCCCCGCUCGAGCGGGGGACACUCACCGAGCGGCUGGAGAGUCUUUUCCGGGAGCUCCGGCUGAACAUGGCCGGACGCCUCCUGCUCGCAGCGCCGUCCGUCGGCAAUACAGUUACUAAAGGAACUUGAAGAGAUCCUCAUACAUAAUUGUCAACACGGGAAGACGCCUUUGCUAUAAUGUAAGGUGGAAAAACAAAACCCGAAUAGACUGUCUGCCUGUAAUUGCUCCUAAAAUAUGCAUCAAGAAACUGGAAAGAAAUACACAACACGUUAAAAUGCCACUGUUUGCAGAAUACAUUCAAAAGUAUUAUAUUGGGACUCCAAGACUCACAGUGAGGUCAGAAAAGGAAACAAACACUCGCUGAAGCUGUGUGACUUCCCCGACACGUAUGCUGGGUGCUCCACCGGAUUGUCUGAAUCCGACCUGCAGACAAGAAAAGAGAAGGUAAAGAGUCAGUGAGGACUGGUGGACGUAUUUUCCCCAGAUUUCAU